UACGUAGGGGGCUAGCGUUGUCCGGAUUUAUUGGGCGUAAAGAGCGUGUAGGCGGCCAAGUAAGUCCGGUGUGAAAACUCGAGGCUUAACCUCGAGAUGUCAUCGGAAACUAUUUGGCUAGAGUCCGGAAGAGGAGAGUGGAAUUCCUGGUGUAGCGGUGAAAUGCGCAGAUAUCAGGAAGAACACCUAGGGCGAAAGCAGCUCUCUGGGACGGUACUGACGCUGAGACGCGAAAGCGUGGGGAGCGAACAGG
rnacentral:rRNA from 1 species